rnacentral:rRNA from 1 species
GAUGAACGCUGGCGGCGUGCCUAAUACAUGCAAGUCGAGCGAACGGACGAGAAGCUUGCUUCUCUGAUGUUAGCGGCGGACGGGUGAGUAACACGUGGAUAACCUACCUAUAAGACUGGGAUAACUUCGGGAAACCGUAGCUAAUACCGGAUAAUAUUUUGAACCGCAUGGUUCAAAAGUGAAAGACGGUCUUGCUGUCACUUAUAGAUGGAUCCGCGCUGCAUUAGCUAGUUGGUAAGGUAACGGCUUACCAAGGCAACGAUGCAUAGCCGACCUGAGAGGGUGAUCGGCCACACUGGAACUGAGACACGGUCCAGACUCCUACGGGAGGCAGCAGUAGGGAAUCUUCCGCAAUGGGCGAAAGCCUGACGGAGCAACGCCGCGUGAGUGAUGAAGGUCUUCGGAUCGUAAAACUCUGUUAUUAGGGAAGAAUAUAUGUGUAAGUAACUGUGCACAUCUUGACGGUACCUAAUCAGAAAGCCACGGCUAACUACGUG